rnacentral:rRNA from 1 species
AGCGAACGCUGGCGGCAGGCUUAACACAUGCAAGUCGAGCGGGCACCUUCGGGUGUCAGCGGCAGACGGGUGAGUAACACGUGGGAACGUGCCCUUUGGUUCGGGACAACUCCGGGAAACUGGAGCUAAUACCGGAUAAGCCCUUCGGGGAAGGAUUAUCGCCAAAGGAUCGGCCCGCGUCUGAUCAGCUAGUUGGUGAGGUAAUGGCUCACCAAGGCGACGAUCAGUAGCUGGUCNGAGAGGAUGAUCAGCCACACUGGGACUGAGACACGGCCCAGACUCCUACGGGAGGCAGCAGUGGGGAAUAUUGGACAAUGGGCGCAAGCCUGAUCCAGCCAUGCCGCGUGAGUGAUGAAGGCC